CUUUUCGCGGCGCCCCACCUGUCCAGCCCGGGGCGCGGGGGCAAUCGCCGUGAGGAGCAGGCGGGGCGAGGGCACCCCACCCUCGAGUCGGCUUUCGCCCGUGGGGAAACUGAGGCUGCCUGGUCGAAGGCCUCCACGGGGAAGCGCCGAGGCCUCCUCCAUGCCUGGGACCUGGGGGUCUUAAUGAAGGGAGAGUCCACCCUCCCGGGCGAGGAUCCCGAUCCAUGAGGCGCCAACCCCCGCCCGGGCGCCCGGGUCCAGCCUCCCCGGCCGAGGGUCGGCCUCACACUCCCCUGCUUUGGGUGUUUGGUUUUGUUUAAAAAAUGGGACUAUACUAUAUGGUCUACCUGGGUCUUGCCCCCUCUGUGUGGGUGACAUAUAUCUUAGAGAUUGUUCAAAAUAAAAAACAUAGAGAAAAGGAGAAAAAUAGAAAAAAAAUGCAUCGUUGCCUUGCUCUUUUUUUUUUUUUUUAAACUAGGUAGCAUUCUCUUGUAUGAGUCUGUUACAAUUUCCUUAACCAGGCUUCUGCUCACCACCCACGUCUUGACACCCUUGCCUUGCAGUAACAGGAACCACCCCAACAGCUACUACCAUGGAGCCUUGGUGGCUUUCUAGUGAAUGAACAGACAUCUGAGCUUGCAAAUAGGGCGGGAAGAGAGGCUAUCCUCACGCUCCCGCAGGAGUGUCCUCAGCCCCAGGCUUCUGGCCUAAACCUGGCUCACAAAUCUCAGCCUGGGCAGCCUGCCUCUCACAGUUGGGAAAAACAGCCUAUUCCCGUCUUGAACAAACCCCGGGAGGACAGGAAGAGCAUCCCUAGGCAACAACACCAGGUGCUUCUUUUGUUUUGUUUUCUUUUGUUUUCCAGACAGAGUCUUGGUCUGUCGCCCAGGCUGGAGUGUAGUGCCCAAUCUCAGCUCACUGCAGCCUCCGCCUCCCAGGUUCAAGCGAUUCUCCUGCCUCAGCCUCUCGAGUAGCUGGGACUGCAGGCACGCGCCACCACACCCGGAUAAUUUUUGUAUUUUUAGAAGAGAUGUGAUUUCACCAUGUUGGCCAGGAUGGUCUCGAUCUCCUGACCUCGUGAUCUGGCCACCUUGGCCUCCCAAAAUGCUGGGAUUACAAGCGUGAGCCACCACGUCCGGCCUGUUUGUUUGUUUUGAGACAGGCUGAAGUGCAGUGGCAUGAUCACAGCUCAUGGCAGCCUUGACUUCCCAGGCUCAGGUGAUCCUUCUGCCUAAGCCCACCAGUAGCUGGGACUACAGGCAAAUGCCAACAUGCCCGCUAAUUUUUGUAUUAGUAGAGAUGGGUAUUUGUUUGUUUGUUUGUUUUGAGACAGAGUCUCACUCUGUCGCCCAGGCUGGAGAGCAGUGGUGCGAGCUUGGCCUACUGCAACCUCUGCCUCCUGGUUUCAAGUGAUUCUCGAGCCUUGGCCUCCCCAGUAGCUGGAACUACAGGUGCAUGCCUGUAGUUACAGGCGUGAGCCACCACCCCUGGCCUCUCCAUUCUUUCCCACGAAUCCCUAUCACAUUCUUCUCACUCUAUUGGGUGUCAAAAAUGUAGAACUUCCAUGCUUCCA
rnacentral:lncRNA from 1 species